rnacentral:tRNA from 1 species
GGAGAAAUUGCAGAGUGGUUAAUUACGACGAUUUUGAAAAUUGUUCUGGCCCAAUUUAGUAAGUUAACGGGGGUUCAAAUCCCUCUUUCUCCA